CAGACGUUUAUCCAACUGUACGACAAGCCACACCUGGACCAAUAGAUACCGGAACAGCAGUAACCUUGAUAUGUUCUGUUCCUGGAGGCAAUCCUUUGGCAACACUGACAUGGGAUUGUCAGGGUAUCACUUCAAACACCUCGACAGAAACUGAAGCAGUGUUAGAAAUUGAGUUUACAGUGGACAAAAAUUAUAAUGGAAGAAUCUGUAGUUGUUCUGCUACUCAUCCUAUAGUAACUUACAGACCCACAUCUCAAAUUUCA
rnacentral:lncRNA from 1 species